rnacentral:tRNA from 1 species
AUGUUAAGACGACCCCUAAAUAGGGCCCGUAGGCA